rnacentral:tRNA from 1 species
GGAGAGGUGACUGAGUGGUUGAAAGUACCGCUCUCGAAAAGCGGCAAGGGUGAAAGCCCUUCGGGAGUUCGAAUCUCCCCCUCUCCGCUA